rnacentral:rRNA from 1 species
CCUACGGGGUGCUGCAGUGGGGAAUAUUGGACAAUGGGCGAAAGCCUGAUCCAGCCAUGCCGCGUGUGUGAAGAAGGCCUUCGGGUUGUAAAGCACUUUCAGUGGGGAAGAAAGCCUUGGGGUUAAUACCCUCGAGGAAGGACAUCACCCACAGAAGAAGCACCGGCUAACUCCGUGCCAGCAGCCGCGGUAAUACGGAGGGUGCGAGCGUUAAUCGGAAUUACUGGGCGUAAAGCGCGCGUAGGCGGUCUGAUAAGCCGGUUGUGAAAGCCCCGGGCUCAACCUGGGAACGGCAUCCGGAACUGUCAGGCUAGAGUGCAGGAGAGGAAGGUAGAAUUCCCGGUGUAGCGGUGAAAUGCGUAGAGAUCGGGAGGAAUACCAGUGGCGAAGGCGGCCUUCUGGACUGACACUGACGCUGAGGUGCGAAAGCGUGGGUAGCAAACAGGAUUAGAUACCCUAGUAGUC